rnacentral:rRNA from 1 species
CCUACGGGAGACAGCAGUGAGGAAUAUUGGUCAAUGGGCGCGAGCCUGAACCAGCCAAGUCGCGUGAGGGAAGACGGUCCUAUGGAUUGUAAACCUCUUUUGUCGGGGAGAAAAAGACGCCACGCGUGGAGUUCCGAGAGUACCCGAAGAAAAAGCAUAGGCUAACGCCGUGCCAGCAGACGCGGUAAGACGGCGGAUGCGAGCGUUAUCCGGAUUUAUUGGGUUUACGGGGUGCGCAGGCGGAAGAUCAAGUCAGCGGUAAAAUUGAGAGGCUCACCCUCUUCGAGCCGUUGAAACUGGUUUUCUUGAGUGUGUGAGAGGUAUGCGGAAUUCGUGGUGUAGCGGUGACAUGCAUAGAUAUCACGCAGAACUCCGAUUGCGAAGGCAGCCUACCGGCGCUCACCUGACGCUCAUGCACGAAAGUGUGGGUAUCGAACAGGAUUAGAUACCCUUGUAGUC